rnacentral:rRNA from 1 species
UACGUAGGGUGCAAGCGUUAAUCGGAAUUACUGGGCGUAAAGCGUGCGCAGGCGGUUGUGCAAGACCGAUGUGAAAUCCCCGGGCUUAACCUGGGAAUGGCAUUGGUGACUGUACGGCUAGAGUGUGUCAGAGGGGGGUAGGAAUUCCACGUGUAGCAGUGAAAUGCGUAGAGAUGUGGAGGAAUACCGAUGGCGAAGGCAGCCCCCUGGGAUAACACUGACGCUCAUGCACGAAAGCGUGGGGAGCAAACAGG